AGACCUCGGCGGGCUGCCGCGUGUCCCCUAGGACUGAGUCCUCCGCGCAGACAGGUUUUGCUUUGCAUUUACCAUGAGGCCUACAUAAAACAUCUGACAGUUAUGACAGGUUAACAGGUAUUGUGCUGGAUUCUUGAGAUACAGUGGUUUCAAAGAUCUGUCCUUUACUCACAAGAGGAUUCCAAUGUAGAGA